GAUGAACGCUGGCGGCGUGCCUAAUACAUGCAAGUCGAGCGAACAGACGAGGAGCUUGCUCCUCUGACGUUAGCGGCGGACGGGUGAGUAACACGUGGAUAACCUACCUAUAAGACUGGGAUAACUUCGGGAAACCGGAGCUAAUACCGGAUAAUAUAUUGAACCGCAUGGUUCAAUAGUGAAAGACGGUUUUGCUGUCACUUAUAGAUGGAUCCGCACCGCAUUAGCUAGUUGGUAAGGUAACGGCUUACCAAGGCAACGAUGCGUAGCCGACCUGAGAGGGUGAUCGGCCACACUGGAACUGAGACACGGUCCAGACUCCUACGGGAGGCCGCAGUAGGGAAUCUUCCGCAAUGGGCGAAAGCCUGACGGAGCAACGCCGCGUGAGUGAUGAAGGUCUUCGGAUCGUAAAACUCUGUUAUUAGGGAAGAACAAAUGUGUAAGUAACUAUGCACGUCUUGACGGUACCUAAUCAGAAAGCCACGGCUAACUACGUG
rnacentral:rRNA from 1 species